rnacentral:rRNA from 1 species
CCUACGGGAGGCAGCAGUAGGGAAUCUUCCACAAUGGGCGAAAGCCUGAUGGAGCAACGCCGCGUGGGUGAAGAAGGUCUUCGGAUCGUAAAACCCUGUUGUUAGAGAAGAAAGUGCGUGAGAGUAACUGUUCACGUUUCGACGGUAUCUAACCAGAAAGCCACGGCUAACUACGUGCCAGCAGCCGCGGUAAUACGUAGGUGGCAAGCGUUAUCCGGAUUUAGUGGGCGUAAAGGGAACGCAGGCGGUCUUUUAAGUCUGAUGUGAAAGCCUUCGGCUUAACCGGAGUAGUGCAUUGGAAACGGGGAGACUUGAGUGCAGAAGAGGAGAGUGGAACUCCAUGUGUAGCGGUGAAAUGCGUAGAUAUAUGGAAGAACACCAGUGGCGAAAGCAGCAUACCGGCGCCCAACUGACGCUGAAGCACGAAAGCGUGGGUAUCGAACAGGAUUAGAUACCCUUGUAGUC